AUUGAACGCUGGCGGCGUGCUUUACACAUGCAAGUCGAGCGGCAGCACGACCUUCGGGUUGGUGGCGAGCGGCGAACGGGUGAGUAAUACAUCGGAACGUACCUUUUAGUUGGGGAUAACGCAUCGAAAGAUGUGCUAAUACCGAAUAAUCCCUGAGGAGGAAAGGCGGGGAUCGCAAGACCUGUCGCUGAAAGAGCGGCCGAUGGCUGAUUAGCUAGUUGGGGAGGUAAAUGCUCACCAAGGCGAUGAUCAGUAGCUGUUCUGAGAGGAAGAUCAGCCACACUGGGACUGAGACACGGCCCAGACUCCUACGGGAGGCAGCAGUGGGGAAUUUUGGACAAUGGGGGCAACCCUGAUCCAGCAACGCCGCGUGAAUGAAGAAGGCCCUAGGGUUGUAAAGUUCUUUUGUCGCAGAGCAAAAGGGAGAUGCUAAUAUCAUCUUCAAAUGAGAGUAUGCGAAGAAUAAGCACCGGCUAACUACGUGCCAGCCGCCGCCGUAAUAC
rnacentral:rRNA from 1 species